AUCCAGCUGACGAGUCCGAAGUAGGACGAAAAGUACUUCUUGGAU
rnacentral:hammerhead_ribozyme from 1 species